UUUUGGACAAUGGUGGCGACCCUGAUCCAGCCAUUCCGCGUGAGUGAAGAAGGCCUUCGGGUUGUAAAGCUCUUUCGCGAGGGAAGAAAACUUAUGAUCGAAUAAAUCAUGAGGUUGACGGUACCUUGAUAAGAAGCACCGGCUAACUACGUGCCAGCAGCCGCGGUAAUACGUAGGGUGCGAGCGUUAAUCGGAAUUACUGGGCGUAAAGCGUGCGCAGGCGGUUUUGUAAGUCGGAUGUGAAAUCCCCGGGCUCAACCUGUGAACUGCGUUCGAAACUGCAAGGCUAGAGUGUGUCAGAGGGGGGUAGAAUUCCACGUGUAGCAGUGAAAUGCGUAGAGAUGUGGAGGAAUACCAAUGGCGAAGGCAGCCCCCUGGGAUAACACUGACGCUCAUGCACGAA
rnacentral:rRNA from 1 species